UGGGUACGGAGCAGGCGCACCCAACCCCUGUGAACAUACCACUUGUUGCCUCGGCGGAUCAGCCCGCUCCCGGUAAAACGGGACGGCCCGCCAGAGGACCCCUAAACUCUGUUUCUAUAUGUAACUUCUGAGUAAAACCAUAAAUAAAUCAAAACUUUCAACAACGGAUCUCUUGGUUCUGGCAUCGAUGAAGAACGCAGCAAAAUGCGAUAAGUAAUGUGAAUUGCAGAAUUCAGUGAAUCAUCGAAUCUUUGAACGCACAUUGCGCCCGCCAGUAUUCUGGCGGGCAUGCCUGUUCGAGCGUCAUUUCAACCCUCAAGCCCUCGGGUUUGGUGUUGGGGAUCGGCGAGCCCUUGCGGCAAGCCGGCCCCGAAAUCUAGUGGCGGUCUCGCUGCAGCCUCCAUUGCGUAGUAGUAAAACCCUCGCAACUGGAACGCGGCGCGGCCAAGCCGUUAAACCCCCAACUUCUGAAUGUUGACCUCGGAUCAGGUAGGAAUACCCGCUGAACUUAAGCAUACAA
rnacentral:rRNA from 1 species